rnacentral:lncRNA from 1 species
UUCUAAGCUAAUAGAGUUAUUGGACUCCUAGCCAUCUAUCAUUUUCUUUAAAUAUUUGAAUUGUAUAUGGAUUUUUCCUCUUUUUCUAUGCUAUUUCUUAUCCAUGUAUGAAAGAUGCAUAGUGAUUUGAAAAUAUAUCUUUUAUUUUGGUUUUAUAUCUACCUUGAAUAUCAUUUGUUUUUUUUUCAUUUUCAAUCACAAUGAUAGUUGGCCUCUUUUCACCAACUAUCACCAUACAUGUAAGUGAAAAGGAGGGAUGGAG